rnacentral:lncRNA from 1 species
GAGCAGACCGGGAGGAAGAGGGAGCAUGCGCGGUGUGGGUCCUGCGGGUCAUGUCUCAUGGGCCCCCGGUCUCCAGGUGCUGCUGGCUGUUAGUUUCCUGACGCUGCUGUAGCAGUUCACGCACACCCUAGGAGUCCGAAGUUGGAGGUCUGAAGCGAAUCUCGAGGGGCUAAGGACCCUGUGCUCACAUUGGUCCCACCUGGAAAAUCUGGAUCACCUCUCUCUCUCUCAAGGACUGGACUCCUUCACCUGUGAAGUCUCAUUCUCCAUGGUGUCCGGGCUGUGUAACCCCAGGCGCUGUGGCUACCGGUGCUCUUGUGAGUCCUCCGUGCCGACUGAGAUGCGCUGCGCAAACAUCUGUUGUGAGAAAUGCUGAUGCUGCUAAUGCCGCUGCGGUUUUCUGCACACAUUUGUCAUCAAAAGAAAUGUUCAACUUCAGGCGGAGGUGAAUAUAAAUAAAUCUGUGUGUGUGUGUGUGUGUGUGUGUGUGUGUACUUGUGUGUCUUGGUGUAUCUCCGCAUGUCUGUGCUUUUGUAUUUGUGCGUGUUUGUGUGUAUUCGUAUUUGUGUCCAUGUAUGUCUGAGUGUCCGCUUGUGUUCACAGGUGCAUGUGUGUGUUUGUGCGUGCGAGUGUGUAUUUUGCCAUGGACUGUUGCAGACCCCCAAACUCCAACCAUAGACCCACUCCAUGACCCCUAGGGAGGAGCCUGGCUUGGGUUUGUUUUGUGUGCGGUGUGAAGCCAUGGACAGAACCUUGUGUGUGUGUGUGGCACGUG